rnacentral:rRNA from 1 species
CCUACGGGAGGCUGCAGUGGGGAAUAUUGGACAAUGGGCGAAAGCCUGAUCCAGCCAUGCCGCGUGUGUGAAGAAGGCCUUCGGGUUGUAAAGCACUUUCAGUGGGGAAGAAAGCCUUGGGGCUAAUACCCUCGAGGAAGGACAUCACCCACAGAAGAAGCACCGGCUAACUCCGUGCCAGCAGCCGCGGUAAUACGGAGGGUGCGAGCGUUAAUCGGAAUUACUGGGCGUAAAGCGCGCGUAGGCGGUCUGAUAAGCCGGUUGUGAAAGCCCCGGGCUCACCCUGGGAACGGCAUCCGGAACUGUCAGGCUAGAGUGCAGGAGAGGAAGGUAGAAUUCCCGGUGUAGCGGUGAAAUGCGUAGAGAUCGGGAGGAAUACCAGUGGCGAAGGCGGCCUUCUGGACUGACACUGACGCUGAGGUGCGAAAGCGUGGGUAGCAAACAGGAUUAGAUACCCUAGUAGUC